rfam:Smittium culicis strain GSMNP scaffold-9575, whole genome shotgun sequence.
AAUCAAGAAAUAAAAGGGAUCAUAGAGAAUGACAAACCUAUAUAUCAGAUGGAGGUUAAAACCAAAAAAUUGUGGAUUAAAAGAUGAAACAAUAAAUUCCAAAGAUAUAAAAAUAUCAAAGGGCAAAGCCAAAAAAAACCUGCAGAACUGAAACAUCUAAUUAAGCAGAGGAAAAGAAAUCAACCGAGAUUCAAAAAGUAGUGGCGAACAAAAUUUGAACAGUCAGAGAGGCAUGUAAUGCUUCUCUUAUAUUUAUAUUUUUACCUAAAUAAAAUGGAAAGUUAAACCAAAGAAGGUGAAAGUCCAGUGGGAUAAAUUAAUAUAAAUAUAAAAAAAAGUAGAAUAAGAGAAAACUUGUUUGAAAAAAGGGGAACCAUCCUCUAAGACUAAAUAUGAUAUAUAGAGUAAUAGAGUAAAGUACUGUAAAGGAACAGAUUGAAAAGAUGAAGACGUUAUACGUCUGUAGAUAACUAGUGAAAAAGAACCUGAAUCUGUGAUUCUAUAAGUAGGAGAAAAAUAAAAGAAUAAACUCCGUACCUUUUGCAUAAUGGGUCAGCAAGUUGAUAAUAGAAGCAAGAUGAAAAAUCGUAAUGAAAAUAUCGGAUGUUUAAUCCUUAAUAAGUUUCUAUUAUCAGACCCGAAAUCUAGUGAUCUUCCCAUGAUCAAGUUAUAGGACUGAACCUUAGUUUGUUGCAAUAAACAAGGAUGAAUUGUGGGAAGGGGCGAAAGACCAAUCGAACUAGAAGAUAGCUGGUAUUCCGCGAAAACUAUAAUAGUAGAACAUUUUAAAAAAAAUUAAAAUCAAUUUUGCAAUGGAUUAUCUUUAAUUACCAAAAAAAAUGAGUAAAUUAAAAAAAAAAAAAUCUAAUCAUAAAAAGAUUUUAAGUUAAAGUAUAAAAUAGUCAGUCUUAAGGGGAUAAGCUCAUAAGACAAAAGGGAAAAAGCCCUAAACCUAAAAUAAGGUCCCUAAUGAAUGACUAAGUGAUAUAAAGAAAGUAAUGCUAAUUAUUCAACUCUUUAGUGGGCUUGGAGUCAGCCAUCUAUAAAAGAAAGCGUAAUAGCUCAAGAGGAAAAAUGUUUUUCAUUUUUGAUAAUUUGCAUCGAAAAUGUAAAGGGUCUAAAGUCAUUAACCGAAAUUAGGUGUUAAAUCGGUAGCGGAACAUUCAGUAAAUGGAAAGGAAAGGUAAAAACCGUACCUCAUAUCUGAAGAGAGAAUGCUGACAUGAGUAACAAAAAUGAAUGUUAAAAUCAUUCACGCCGAAAAAAAUAGGUUAAACUGAGAUAGGAUAAACCUCUUAGAAAAAAAACGGUCUCUAAAAUAAAUAUAAAUUGAUGAGUAGAUAAGCAAAUAUCUGUUAUUAAUAAAUUAAUUUUGGUUUUCAUCUUUAAUUUAUUUUUAACCUGGAAAAAUUUUUAUCUUACCGUUCUAAUUCCAACACUGGUUUUUUUAUUGAGUAUAUUCAGGCGUUUCAGAUAAUCAUCUUUAAGGAACUCGGCAAAUUACCUCUGUAACUUAGGGAUAAAGAGGGGUGAGGGCAUAUAAUGCCGCCACCGACACAGAAUAGAAGAGAACAACUGUUUACUAAAAACAUAGCACUUUGCCAUAGCUUACAGCCUUAGUAUAAAGUGUGAAACCUGCCCAGUGCUAGUAAGUUAAAUAAGAAUUUUAUUAUGAUUUUCUUAUAAUCUCUAGUAAACGGCGGUCCUAACUAUGAGGAUCCUAAGGUAGCAAAAUCCAUUGUCAUCUAAUUAGUGACCUGCAUGAAUGGUAUAAUGACUUCUCUUACUGUCUCAAAGAUGAACUGAGUGAAAUUACAAUAUCCGUGCAGAUGCGGAUUACCAUUAGCUAGACGGGAAGACCCUUUGAAGCUUUACUGUUAAUAAAUAUUUUUUUUAUGAUUUUUAGGUGUAGAAUAUAAGGUAGUCAUUUAUUGGCAAUAGUGAAAUCCCUUAACUAAAAUUCUAAUUAAAAGGACGCAUGCGUACGUCCCGUUGUUUAUGAGACAGUUUUCUUGGGAUGAGAUCCUCAUAAAUAGUAACUGAGGAGUUCUAAGCUCUAUUUUUGCAGAUGGGUUAUCUGCCGUGAAAAAUAAUCACGAUAUUAAUAUAAUGAUAAAAUAGGGUUAACGAUAAGGAUUACAAUCCGAAUCGGGUCGUAAGACGGACAUAGUGAACCGAUAAUAUCAAUAUGGAAUGGUUAUCGAUUAUCGGAUUAAGCUACUCAAGGGAUAACAGGCUAGUUAUGCACGAGAGUACCUAUUGACUGCAUAGCUCGGCACCUCGAUGUCGACUCAUCUUAUCCUGGAGCAGUAGUAUGUUCCAAGGGUUUGGCUGUUCGCCAAAUAAAAAGGUACGUGAGUUGGGUUAAAUACGUCGUAAGACAGUAUGGAUCCUAUCUACUAAUGGAAAACAAUUAUAAUUUUGGUCUUUUUCGUAGUACGAAAGGAAUCGAUUGAGUUAAUCCCUUGUUUUUCAGUUAUAAAAACUUGAAGAUUUUUGUAUAGCUGAGAAGCAAUAUUAAUAAAUGAUAACUACUGAAAGCAUAUAAAGUAGGAAACAAGCCAAAAGAAAUUGUUAAUAUAAAGAAAGGAUAAAGAUAAUAUCCAAAAAAUAAAGGAAAAUAAACCUUUUCAUAGGCUUAUAGUGAAAGGACCGUGAGGUCGGAGCUAAAUAGUACUAAUUUUCAAGAAACUUGAUUAA